GAUGAACGCUGGCGGCGUGCCUAAUACAUGCAAGUCGAGCGAACGGACGAGAAGCUUGCUUCUCUGAUGUUAGCGGCGGACGGGGGAGUAACACGUGGAUAACCUACCUAUAAGACUGGGAUAACUUCGGGAAACCGGAGCUAAUACCGGAUAAUAUUUUGAACCGCAUGGUUCAAAAGUGAAAGACGGUCUUGCUGUCACUUAUAGAUGGAUCCGCGCUGCAUUAGCUAGUUGGUAAGGUAACGGCUUACCAAGGCAACGAUGCAUAGCCGACCUGAGAGGGUGACCGGCCACACUGGAACUGAGACACGGUCCAGACUCCUACGGGAGGCAGCAGUAGGGAAUCUUCCGCAAUGGGCGAAAGCCUGAUGGAGCAACGCCGCGUGAGUGAUGAAGGUCUUCGGAUCGUAAAACUCUGUUAUUAGGGAAGAACAUAUGUGUAAGUAACUGUGCACAUCUUGACGGUACCUAAUCAGAAAGCCACGGCUAACUACGUG
rnacentral:rRNA from 1 species